AUUGAACGCUGGCGGCAGGCUUAACACAUGCAAGUCGAGCGGUAGAAAGUAGCUUGCUACUUUUGAGAGCGGCGGACGGGUGAGUAAUGCGUGGGAAUCUACCUGGUAGUGGGGGACAACAGUUGGAAACGACUGCUAAUACCGCAUACGCCCUACGGGGAAAGGCGGGGAGUCUUCGGACCUCGUGCUAUCAGAUGAGCCCGCGUGAGAUUAGCUUGUUGGUGGGGUAAUGGCCUACCAAGGCGACGAUCUCUAGCUGGUCUGAGAGGAUGAUCAGCCACACUGGGACUGAGACACGGCCCAGACUCCUACGGGAGGCAGCAGUGGGGAAUAUUGGACAAUGGGCGCAAGCCUGAUCCAGCCAUGCCGCGUGUGUGAAGAAGGCCUCGGUGUAAGCACUUCUAGCGAGGAGGAAGGUUAGUAGC
rnacentral:rRNA from 1 species